rnacentral:rRNA from 1 species
AGUGAACGCUGGCGGUAGGCCUAACUCAUGCAAGUCGAACGGCAGCACAGUAAGAGCUUGCCCUUACGGGUGGCGAGUGGCGGACGGGUGAUGAAUACAUCGGAAUCUACUUUUUCUUGGGGGAUAACGUAGGGAAACUUACGCUACUACCGCAUACGACCUACGGGUGAAAGCAGGGGAUCUUCGGACCUUGCGCGAUUGAAUGAGCCGAUGUCGGAUUAGCUUGUUGGCGGGGUAAAGGCCCACCAAGGCGACGAUCCGUAGCUGGUCUGAGAGGAUGAUCAGCCACACUGGAACUGAGACACGGUCCAGACUCCUACGGGAGGCAGCAGUGGGGAAUAUUGGACAAUGGGCGCAAGCCUGAUCCAGCCAUACCGCGUGGGUGAAGAAGGCCUUCGGGUUGUAAAGCCCUUUUGUUGGGAAAGAAAAGCAGCAAGUUAAUACCCCGCUGUUCUGACGGUACCCAAAGAAUAAGCACCGGCUAACUUCGUG